UCCUCAUGAACACUGAAGAAAAGGAGAGUUCUAAAACUGGACUGAUACAGAGAAUAUUAGCAUGGCCUUUACACAAUGAUAACACCAAUUUGUAGAGCAUUCCAUAGUUUU